AUUCCGUUUUAUUAUAGCAAUGUAACAAUUAUAUAUUGGUGUUUGCUGGGAGUGUAUAUUAUGCUUUGUGAAAACUUUAUUCCUUCGAAAAUUUAUCACUUAUGCAAUCGCAUUGUAUAGUAGAAUUUUUAAAGUAUUAUUAAAUUAUUUUUUAUUUGAUUUUUAGAUGGCCUGAUGCGAAGAAUUAUUACGACGCACAGUAUGAGAGAAAUGAGGCUGUAGAGGACGCAGAGAAAGAGAGAGAACUGAAGAUUAAAAGAAAUGUAGCCUUUAUAGAAAAUGGCAUAAAUUAUGCAUUGCAAUUACAAAUAUAAUUAAAUUUAUAAUAUAUCAAAGCGUGGCCAAGAGACUUGGUCUACGUUGCGAUAUAAUAAAUGUGAACAAUAGAUACUGUAUAUAUUGGAAUCCAAUACACACAAUUUAAUAAAUGGUGGAAGAAUUUUCUACAUGGAACCUAGAUUAGGUGUACUGAAUCGGGGAUAUAUAAUGACAUUUUCUGAUAGACCUUUUAUCAUGAGAAUUAGGGAGAUGGUCUAUCACUAAUAUGUUAUUUUUAUUAGUUUUAACAUUAAUUAAUGUACUUCCACCCUUACAUAAAUCAAUAAAAUACGUUUAAUAUAUAGUCAAAAAGAAUUGCAUAUAGUUAUAUAAUCUCUAAUUAAUUUUUAUUCAAGAAUCAAUGUAUUGUUUACAUUUACUUCUUGCUCAUGUUUAAUCAUUUUUUAGGUAUUGGAUGUCAUAAAAUUCAAACUUAUGCAUACUAAGAAUUUAUCUAGUACUUUUCUCGAGACGGAUUCAAAUAAUUAUGAAGGCCGCGUGUUUAAGCUACGCUUAACUACACCAGUACGCAGGAAUACAGAAAAAAGGGACGCAAAAUAUGCAGUAGGAAUGAUCGUAAAACAUGUUGAAACACUACUUUUUUAUUAACUGUGGACUAUCUAUGGAAAUAAAUUACGUAAUUGUUAACGAAAAUAAAACAAUAUGUUACGUGCAUGAAGGCCACAUAAGGAAAUCAUGUCGACAAAGAUCGUUAAUACCGAAAUAGGUCGCUACUUUUGUAAAUUUGUAGGCACGCAUUAUGAACCAAAUGAAAUGCUGGCUUAUCUUUUUCCGAAUGAUGCUGCUAUAAGACAACAACAAUAUCAGAAUUAUGAAAAAGACAUGCAUGUUAGAGCAGUACUUGAAGCGCAGUAGUUGAAGCGCGAAAAAACAUUUUAUCAAAAGCAAAAAUAGCAGAAUAUUUAUUAGAAUCAAUAGUAUAAACAUAUACAACUUAAUUGAUAAAUUUUAUAUUGAAAAAUACAUUAUAGCCUGUUGGAAAUUUCAGUCAUUUUUUAAGAUACAUAGUGGCAUAAACUAUUAGUAGAUGGAAUCUUAUAUAAAAAAUAGAGGAAACAAUUUUUUAUGUAGUUCGUUAAGGAUAGUCAUGAUACUAUUAAAUCGACGCAGAAUAAAACUAAAUUAGAACAUUUCCUCUAAUAAUAAUAAAAGUUUAAUCUCUUCCAUUUUUAUACUUCGUUGGUAAUAAAAAAUAAAGAAAGGACAUAAAAGAAAAAUAA